UACGAAGGGGGCUAGCGUUGUUCGGAAUCACUGGGCGUAAAGGGCGCGUAGGCGGCCAUAUAAGUCGGGGGUGAAAGCCUGUGGCUCAACCACAGAAUUGCCUUCGAUACUGUAUGGCUCGAGACCGGAAGAGGUAAGUGGAACUGCGAGUGUAGAGGUGAAAUUCGUAGAUAUUCGGAGGAACACCAGUGGCGAAGGCGGCUCACUGGCUCGGUACUGACGCUGAGGUGCGAAAGCGUGGGGAGCAAACAGG
rnacentral:rRNA from 1 species